rnacentral:rRNA from 1 species
AAAGAAAUCGUUAAGGGCGUAUGGCGGAUGCCUAGGCUUUCAGAGGCGACGAAGGACGUGGUAAGCUGCGAAAAGCUACGGGGAUUGGCACACACGAAUUGAUCCGUAGAUAUCCGAAUGGGGCAACCCAAUACAUUGAAGAUGUAUUACUGCGUAAGCAGAGCAAACCCGGAGAACUGAAACAUCUAAGUACCCGGAGGAAAAGAAAUCGAAGAG